UCAAUGGUUUAUCUGCGAUCCAACACAACCAAGACCGAAGAAAGCUCCGUGGCAACUUCAACACGGAGA